GGGCGGGGCGGGGCCCUUGUCGUGGCCGCUCUGGCCCCGCCCAAGUCCUCGAAGGCGGCGGGUUCGCGCCCUGUGGGCGGGGAGCUAGCGAGUGACGGAGUUCUUAUUACAGCAGUCACCCGAGGUGCCUUGGCCUGAGGGUGAAGAAACCUUUUGGAAGAAAUGUCCCCCAGUGGGUCUUCACUGUGUCAGAGGGCCUCUGGUGGCUGUCACUGGAGCAACAGUGACAUGAGGGAAAGCUCUCUGCUGUGGCCUGGGAAAGCAGUGGAAAAUGGCCCAAGUGCUUGGACCCCUGAACCCACAUGGGAGACCUGGAAGAAGCUCCUGGCUCCUGGCUAUGGAACGGUGCAGCUCCAGCCAUUGCGGCCAAUUGGGGAGUGAACCAUCGGAUGGAAGACCUCUCUCUCUCUCUCUCUCUCUGCCUCUCCUCUCUCUGUGUAACUCUGACUUUUGUGUAACUCUGACUUUUAAAUAAAUAAAUCUUUAAAAAAAUAAAAAAAAAGCUUUGGAAAAUAUUUUAAAAAAGAGUCACAAUGUU